GUGCCAGCAGCCGCGGUAAUACGUAGGUGGCAAGCGUUGUCCGGAAUUAUUGGGCGUAAAGCGCGCGCAGGCGGUCUCUUAAGUCUGAUGUGAAAGCCCCCGGCUCAACCGGGGAGGGUCAUUGGAAACUGGGAGACUUGAGUACAGAAGAGGAGAGUGGAAUUCCACGUGUAGCGGUGAAAUGCGUAGAGAUGUGGAGGAACACCAGUGGCGAAGGCGACUCUCUGGUCUGUAACUGACGCUGAGGCGCGAAAGCGUGGGGAGCAAACAGGAUUAGAUACCCUGGUAGUCC
rnacentral:rRNA from 1 species